rnacentral:rRNA from 1 species
UGGGGAAUAUUGGGCAAUGGGCGCAAGCCUGACCCAGCCAUGCCGCGUGAGUGAUGAAGGUCUUCGGAUCGUAAAGCUCUGUGGGGAGGGACGAAACAGCCUCUGGCUAACAUCCAGGGGUCUUGACGGUACCUCCUUAGCAAGCACCGGCUAACUCCGUGCCAGCAGCCGCGGUAAUACGGAGGGUGCAAACGUUGCUCGGAAUCAUUGGGCGUAAAGCGCACGUAGGCGGUCCGAUAAGUCGGGUGUGAAAGCCCUCGGCUCAACCGAGGAAGUGCAUUCGAAACUGUCGGACUUGAGUAUGGAAGAGGGUCGCGGAAUUCCCGGUGUAGAGGUGAAAUUCGUAGAUAUCGGGAGGAACACCAGUGGCGAAGGCGGCGACCUGGGCCAAUACUGACGCUGAGGUGCGAAAGCGUGGGGAGCAAACAGG